CAUUAAUUCUUUAUUUUUUGUUUUACGCUCCAGUCUGCAAAUCAUACUACUUGGUAUUAAAUCCACAAAGCAUUGGGUUUUUGUAUGCUUCUUUGUUGGUUUAUUUGGGUAAUGGUAAUGCUUUGUUAAAGUUCCCAAGGAAUUUGACCCAUGGUGGCGGGGAUUUAAAAUAAAUAUAUUGCUAGGGUUUUUUUUAAUAUUUUGUGUUCCGCUGGAAUUUUAUUUAUUUAAUCGGAAGUUUUAUUGAUGAAGUUGUUCCUUUGUGUGUUUGUGGUCCUUGUGGCAUGUACUCUCCCCUAUGGCCUGAUUUGAUGGAGUUUUGUUUGGUUCAGAUCAUAUAGUUGACUUUACAUUGGUUUAGUUGAGCCCCCAAUCUUGAUUCUUUGAAUAUAUCUGUUUGUUAUUGAAGAGAAAGAGCAAAGAAAGGGAGGGAGGCAACAAGUAUGUUUCUUACUUACCCAAAUACAGGAUCUUGUUGUGGGUAUGCUUAAUUUACCUAUUCUAUUUUCAAGAAUAUUGUGUGUGUGUGUGUGUGUGUGUGAAAUUGAGGUUGAGGUAGAAUUGCUUUUGAAAUUUGUGGGAAUUUCAAAUCCAUGUCCUUACAAGCGUGAUCCUUGGAUUGUUUUGUUUUGAGUGUAUAUCACCUUGCCAAAGAUGUCAUUAUUUAUUUAGCUUCUUUUGGUUUAUCUCUAAAUCAGGCUUUAUUCAGCUUCAAGUUUUGAGUGUAUACCUCCUCUCCAUCAAUCUCUCCUUCACCUUCUUCUUCGCCCCAGAGAAGAUGGAGGAACUUGAAGCAGAUGGGGCUAAUUAGUUGCUAACCACGACCACAUCCUAGAAGUGCUAGAGAGUGAACACUAUUUAGAGAGGUUGUUUCUUUGGUGCUAUAAUUUGGAGAACUUUCAGCUCCAUGCUGUCAGGAUUUGUUGAUCAAAGCCAUUGAAGCUCAGAUUUUGGAGAAUACAUGGUUAAAGAUCAAGAGAGUUGAAGAUGAGGAUACACAAAGCUUUUUAUUUUGUGUAAUUAACUCAAAAAAUAUUUUGUAAUGAAAGUACAUAAAUAGUGUAAAACUCUUAUAUUUUGUUAUUACUCAAAAUACAUUGCACUUUAGCUCAUAACUUGUC